rnacentral:rRNA from 1 species
CCUACGGGGGACAGCAGUGGGGGAUAUUGCACAAUGGGGGAAACCCUGAUCCAGCGACGCCGCGUGAGUGAAGAAGUAUUUCGGUAUGUAAAGCUCUAUCAUCAGGGAAGAAAAUGACGGUACCUGAGCAAGAAGCCCCGGCUAACUACGUGCCAGCAGCCGCGGUAAUACGUAGGGGGCAAGCGUUAUCCGGAUUUACUGGGUGUAAAGGGAGCGUAGACGGGUUUGUAAGUCUGGAGUGAAAGCCCGGGGCUCAACCCCGGGACUGCUUUGGAAACUGUACGACUGGAGUACAGGAGGGGUAGGCGGAAUUCCUGGUGUAGCGGUGAAAUGCGUAGAUAUCAGGAGGAACACCGAUGGCGAAGGCGGCCUGCUGGACUGAAACUGACGUUGAGGCUCGAAAGCGUGGGGAGCAAACAGGAUUAGAUACCCUAGUAGUC